AAGUAUGAUUCAGGCUGUGAUGUAUGCUUUUUGCGGCAUGGGAUGGGGUCGCGUCCUAUCAGCUUGUUGGUGGGGUAACGGCCUACCAAGGCGUUGACGGGUAGCCGGCCUGAGAGGGCGACCGGCCACAUUGGGACUGAGAUACGGCCCAGACUCCUACGGGAGGCAGCAGUGGGGAAUAUUGCACAAUGGGCGCAAGCCUGAUGCAGCGACGCCGCGUGCGGGAUGGAGGCCUUCGGGUUGUAAACCGCUUUUGUUCAAGGGCAAGGCACGGUUUUUGGCCGUGUUGAGUGGAUUGUUCGAAUAAGCACCGGCUAACUACGUGCCAGCAGCCGCGGUAAUACGUAGGGUGCAAGCGUUAUCCGGAUUUAUUGGGCGUAAAGGGCUCGUAGGCGGUUCGUCGCGUCCGGUGUGAAAGUCCAUCGCUUAACGGUGGAUCCGCGCCGGGUACGGGCGGGCUUGAGUGCGGUAGGGGAGACUGGAAUUCCCGGUGUAACGGUGGA
rnacentral:rRNA from 1 species